rnacentral:rRNA from 1 species
GACGAAGGGGGCUAGCGUUGUUCGGAAUUACUGGGCGUAAAGCGAGUGUAGGUGGUUGUCGUAGUCAGGCGUGAAAGCCUUGAGCUCAACUCAAGAAAUGCGCUUGAUACUGGGCAGCUAGAGGACCGGAGAGGAUAGUGGAAUUCCCAGUGUAGUGGUGAAAUACGUAGAGAUUGGGAAGAACACCAGUGGCGAAGGCGGCUAUCUGGACGGUUUCUGACACUAAGACUCGAAAGCGAUGGGGAGCAAACAGG